AAUCCUCUGCCGUGUUCGAUACGGGGCUUGUGCGUUGACCCUACAAAUAUUUCAAAGGGUGUCGGAUCGGUUCGGCCGCGUGUAUAUCCGCCGAUCGUUUUUCGAAACGCUCGUCGGCUCACACAACCCGGAUCUUCGGCAUCCCCCUGAACUUCAAGGGUUCAGAACCUCAACGCCCACCGGCACCUGCGGAGGUUUC
rnacentral:other from 1 species